UCUGGGAAGUUUGAAUUUUUUGCACUAAAUAACCCCACCCUUCCCCCUGGGAUGUAAAAGGGGUUUAACAUUUUCAUUUUAGAGUAGAGCUUGUUAAGACCCUCAAUUUGAUAUAUCAAAUGACCCCAUUUGGCAAAGUGCCAAAAAUGAUGCAAUAUCAAUUGUAUAAAUAGAAAUUAUGAAACUUACAAAGUAAAUGCAAAACAUGAAAAUUUCAAAUUGAUUUUUUGGGUUUUUUUUUCAUUGAAUGUUUUUGGUAUUUGGUCAAACAUAUAACCGUGUUAAACUCUUUAAUUUCUGAAAAUUUCAGGUGGUAAACUGUUAUUGAUUCAGAAAUACAUGCCUCCGCUCGAAAAAUUUUAAACUGCAUUAUCUCUUAAACGACAACAGAUAUCUCAAAUCUGUUAAAUGAUAAAUGAUCUGCCGUUGGAAGGCAACAUUGUAUAAAAAAAUUUGGGACAAUUCCAUAGUUCAUCAAGGUCACAAUGAAUUAUCAAAUAUAUGAUGCAAUAUUAAACUUCAGAACCGGAAGUCGUAGAGACAUAAGACUACCACUAUUCAACUCAGGACCACUUGACCUUUCAAAUGCCACAAUGUCAAGGUCAUAGCACACUCUGAAGGUCAAGGUUAAAUUUCAUCAUGACCUGACAUUGACCUCAAAUUGAAGGUUUUAAAAUACUGAUCAUUUUUGCAAUUUAUAGUAGGUUGAUUUCUGUUACCUUUAAAAAGAUAUACACACAAUACUAUACUUUUAAGAAUUAUCUCGUCGUAACUUGUGAACAGACGGUCGGACAUUUUUGAGCUUUAAGUAUAAAAUGUAGAGCUCGUUGAGAGGAACAUUUUAUACACAGUAUGUAUGCAGCAAACUCUUAUCGUUUUCCUAAUAUGUAAGCUUGAAAUUGCAGUGUAAAUUUUGUUUGCACUCAGUGACCUUUGACCUUGGGUGGAAGUUAAAGGUCACAUGAAAUAAAGAUUAUUGGUGAAGGUCCCAAGUCUCUACGACUUCCGGUUCUCGAAAUACAAUUUUUUUUAAAUUGAGUAAAUUUUUUCAAGGGAAAUCACUCCGUAUAAGGAUUGAUAACAUACUAAUUGUUUAUGUUUAUUAACAUUGCCAUUUGUUCUUGUAGAUGCUGCUAUUUUCAAUUCGAUUCUAUCUCUUAUACUUUUUAAGAAAAAAUAAAAUUAAAGAAAUUGCUUCAAGGGGAUGCAACUCUCAAAGGAGUUGAUGAAAUCCUACGCAGCCUCAUAUGGUAAUACAUCAUGAUGAGAUCUACCUAUAGUACAAAUAAAAUCAUGAUAUCUUUAAAAACAACGAGGGAGGACCAUGUUGAAAAAACCCAAUAAAAGGGAGAUAACUUCAAAAGGAGAUGAUGAAAUCCUAAACAGGGUCAUCUGGUAAUACUUCAUGAUGAGGUCUAUCGAUGGUCCAUAUUUGGUCUUGAUAACUUCAACAGAAACGGGGGGAGGGCAUUCCCAAAAAAAUGUUGGAAGAAAAAAAAGAAAAAAAAAAAAAAAAAAAAAAAGAAAAAGAAAAAAAAAAAAAAAAAAGAAAAAACAAAAACAUUAGAAAAACAAUAAGGUCUUUCCUAACGGAGUGGAAAGACCUUAAAAAGAAAAAGAAAAAGAACUAGUAUCUCAAUUGUUUGUAAAACAAUUGAAAGGUCUUUCCUGCAAAAGUGAUGUUUUUGUAAUGUACUCUUUAAGACCUUUCAUUUGAUAUACGACAAGCAUACCUUCUAAAAAUUUUCACUUUUACACUUAA